rnacentral:misc_RNA from 1 species
GAUGAAGAACGCAGCGAAAUGCGAUAAGUAAUGUGAAUUGCAGAAUUCAGUGAAUCAUCGAAUCUUUGAACGCACAUUGCGCCCCCUGGUAUUCCGGGGGGCAUGCCUGUUCGAGCGUCAUUUCACCACUCAAGCCUCGCUUGGUAUUGGGCAACGCGGUCCGCCGCGUGCCUCAAAUCGACCGGCUGGGUCUUCUGUCCCCUAAGCGUUGUGGAAACUAUUCGCUAAAGGGUGCUCGGGAGGCUACGCCGUAAAACAAACCCAUUUCUAAGGUUGACCUCGGAUCAGGUAGGGAUACCCGCUGAACUUAAGCAUACAAAAGCGGAGGA